rnacentral:rRNA from 1 species
GACGAACCGAGCGAACGUUGUUCGGAAUCACUGGGCUUAAAGGGCGCGUAGGCGGGCUGUCAAGUCUGGGGUGAAAUCCCGCGGCUCAACCGUGGAACUGCCUCAGAUACUGACGGCCUCGAGGGAGAUAGGGGCGAGCGGAACUAAUGGUGGAGCGGUGAAAUGCGUUGAUAUCAUUAGGAACUCCGGUGGCGAAGGCGGCUCGCUGGAUCUUUUCUGACGCUGAGACGCGAAAGCGUGGGGAGCGAACAGG